AGGACGACGCUGGCGGCGUGCUUAACACAUGCAAGUCGAACGGUGACGAAUGGAGCUUGCUCUGUUCUGAUCAGUGGCGAACGGGUGAGUAACACGUGAGUAACCUGCCCCUGACUCUGGAAUAACUUCGGGAAACCGAAGCUAAUACCGGAUAUGACACAGAGCCGCAUGGUUUCUGUGUGGAAAGUUUUCGGUUGGGGAUGGACUCGCGGCCUAUCAGCUUGUUGGUGAGGUAAUGGCUCACCAAGGCGACGACGGGUAGCCGGCCUGAGAGGGCGACCGGCCACACUGGGACUGAGACACGGCCCAGACUCCUACGGGAGGCAGCAGUGGGGAAUAUUGCACAAUGGGCGAAAGCCUGAUGCAGCGACGCCGCGUGAGGGAUGAAGGCCUUCGGGUUGUAAACCUCUUUCAGUAGGGAAGAAGCGCAAGUGACGGUACCUACAGAAGAAGCACCGGCUAACUACGUG
rnacentral:rRNA from 1 species